rnacentral:misc_RNA from 1 species
AAAGUCGUAACAAGGUUUCCGUAGGUGAACCUGCGGAAGGAUCAUUACCGAAUGACCCCGUACCCUCUUGUAGUUGAACAUUGCCCAUAAUCAACUCUUCACUGGAAUCUGAUGAAAUGGGGGUGACGCCACUUGAAGCUCGUUGCCUGAAAUCGGGUCGCGCGUCUCUUCAAAGGUUGAAGUCAUCACCUCGCCGGUCAGACCCUCUUGAUGCCCAUCUGCCUGAUGCCGGUUAUGUCCAUGUGUCAUCCGCAUGGGCACUAAGUCAAGAGAUCAACUCUGCCGGUUAGAUGUCAGACCCCCGGCGGGUUGACACUGGGUCUUGGUCUACUCCGUCUUUCUAACUAACAAAUCCGUCCUUGUAUGGCUAGCCCUAAGUAUGUAAAAUAUAACUUUCAACAACGGAUCUCUUGGCUCUC